GAGGGGGCCUCACGGGGGGCUGGGGGGGCUCUUUGUGGUACCGGUGCCCGCCCGGGGGCUGCUCCGUGGUACCGGUGCCUGGCCCAGAGGGGGUCUCUGUGCUGCCCGGGGGGGCUUGGAGCACGGAGGUGUGGCUCAGCAGCACGAGCCUCGUUCAAAUCUCCAUUUAUUUUGCAGGUUUCCUGUCAGUAGUUAUUUUAGGGGUUGUUUUUUUUAAAAGGCCCACGGUUUUCAUCUCUGUUAGGAGAGUUGGUGUGUGAAUUUCAGUGUGCUGCUGGCUUGGGUUGUUACCUGUCAGGUAACUGGUUCGCUCGAUGGCAGCAGGGAAAAGGCGUAACCUGCCGGGUGGUUACUGGUGCCAGCGGUGUGAGUGUGCUGCAGGAAGUGCCCGCGGGUGCAAUUUGGCUAAGAAACCCACCUAGGAGCACGCUGUCAAGUAUUUCAACUGAAAAAAUAAGGUGAUUCAUCCAAACAUCUCAACACCACUGUCUGUGUGUACACAUUGUAUGCAUAUGUGCGUACAUGUACGUAUGUAUAUACAUAUAUAGAGACGUGCAGAGAUGUACGUAGGUAAGGAGCUAAGAAGGGGAGAGUUUAGCUUGAUCAGCAAAAUUAUGUAUUAAAAGCUUAUGCUUUUGUAUGUUUACCUUCAAUGGAGUAUUUUUAUCAUUUUCCCCUGCUCUUGGUGUAACUUGCACAAAAGCCGUCACAAUUCGUGUAAGGGCACUUGCUGUAUUAUCAUAACAAAGUUAUGGGCAAGAACACGCCUGUAGUCUGGCAAGGUGGGAGCUGGUUAAUCUGUUUAGACAAAGCAUACAGGGAAAUCUUACUGCUAAAAUCACUUCGGUGGUGACAGAGGCGUCAUCGUCUUAAGUUACGAGGCGAUGUGUAUCUAGGGAUGUCUGAGAGGAGGCUCUUGGGACUGAACGAGGGCUUUAACUCUGCUUUCAGUCAGACAUCAGACAGUCUUUAGUUUGCGAAGGUAAGGAGAUUGUUCAUGGUGCUACUGGGGAAGUGUCCUGAAAUUAGAUGCUUCAAUUUAAGCAGAAAGAAGGCUUCAAUAUGCUUGCUGGCUAACUUAUAAGUUAAAAUUAUGCAUGGGCUACUGAGAGUAAAUCCUGUGAGUCUUGUCAGUAUUUUAACUUUUCUCACAGCUGUAGAGCUGAAAAGAGAAUAACGGGGAUUUAAGCACCUGAGUAGCCUUGGCAGUGGUCUAUUCGUGUAUGCAAUUGGCCCUUCAGUAGCUUGUUGUUGUUAUUGUAUUGAGCAAGGCUGCUCUUGAGACUGGGAAUUUCAAGUAAACAGUUUCAAUAUGUAUUUACCGAGUGCUUUGAAAAGCAAAAUAGUUCUAAUUAUAUCUUUAGAUAUCUCUAAUUAUAGAAUAAUGCCAUGUAAUUAUAGUAUUCGUUGGGAAUGCUGCAGCAGAAAUGUUGUGUAAGCCGUGGUAAGACCUGUAAAUGCUCUACUGCAGGAGUUCUGUAUAAUAAUACGAACAUUUAGGGACAAAAUCCACUGAAAUCUCCCCAGCAGUUGCUAGGAGAAUCAUGCUUAACGACUGAAGUAUUGCAAAUGUCAGGAUAGCUCAUGAUAAUUGAAGCAGGUGGUAAGAAGAGUUUGCGGAAAAAGGAGCAUGCAAGUUCUGCUCAGUCAAACCUUAUUUGGAGAAGAAUCUGCUUUCUGCGUUGCACAGGAUGCAGACAGAAAAGGAAUAUUCCACUAAAACCGAGACAAGAGGGCAAGCUGUUAAAUUUUGAAGGAAGAACAUGGAUAGAAAUUAUUGUAUUUUCUGUGUUGCCACAGCAUCCCAUUCAUCAAUCGUUCUCCCAUCCCUCUCCCAUUUAAAUACCUCUCGUUGCUACCACGUGUCACCAAAGUUUCUUUGAAGCUCAAUUUCUGAGAGGAGCUUCAAACCAGAAUUUAGAUUUCACCAGGACAGUAGGGUUUCAGAUGCGGUGCCCCACAUGCAGUGCAGAUUUAACUUUCAGCUCCUUCUUUUUUCAUUAAACUACUGCACUGCCAGUUACAUAGCUAAUCAAAUAAUUUGUGAUUAUGAUCAGUUUUCACAGAGUUAAAUGGGUGGCAGACUUGUUCUUUGUGUCUCUCACCAGCUUCUAGAGUGUUCUUUCAGUUCUGUGACUUUAUUUAAGGUAGAUUUGCUGAUGGAAGUAAUGGAACUUGGAGCGUAACAACCUGCACAUUUCAAGCGAUGAUUCCAGCAGAGGACUGAACUUUCAGAAGUACAGUCAUGAUGUUGGGGUUAAUACUGAAUUUGUAGAAUAAUUGGAGUAAACUAGUGGAGUCGUCUUUAGCUGAAUUAUUUUGUAACGAAGUUCUGGCCUUUGGGGAGGAUUUUUUCCACUAAUAAGCUGCUGUUAUUCCCAAGUCUUGUUUUAAAGCCAAAUCUGGUAUUGGCACAAGAAUGAGAGAAGAAAUGUGAAGAUUACCAGCACGCAGAGGGAGGAGCAUGGAAAAUCUUGUAUCAGAGACUGACUCAUGCAGGAGAUUGUGCUGGAGAGCUACCUUCCUAGUAUCUCUGACUGCUCAACAUGUUAAUGCUAAGCUAAAAAUUGUGAGAAAUGUGUUGGGAAAGCCUGCUGCUGCACAAAUGCAGUGUCCUCAGAUGUUGAAUCACUUGUGCUGUUUGAUAAUCCGACCUCCUGAAGGAUUUGAAUGGCCCUCUCGACAAGACAUUUAGGAGACCAGAACUGGGGAACUACGUGUGCCUCGUCCUGGGCGUCUGCUGCUCUGAUGGCAGAGGCAUGGUGCUGGAGCUGCCUGUGCUUGACCUGACCCGGUCUGUGGUUUUUUUCACGUUAAAAUGAACGUACAGCAGCUGGUUCCUCUCCUGAGGCUUGGAAUUGUGCCUCGUCUUGAGCUAAUACUGAUAACUCUGACAGCUUCUAGCCUGUUAAACAUGGAGCCUGGUCGCUCGUCCUUUCAAGUGACCAAGAGCGUAGAGUACUGCGUGGAGUUCUCCGGGCUGCCCUUCUGCGAGCAGCAUUGUCACUGCUAAAGCACAGUGACACAUUUGGUGUUAGAGCAUGCUCCUGUAAGUAAGUGCUGUUCUGGAACACAGAGGAUGUUCGUAAUGGUGCGAAAGAGGUAAUGAUUUAACAGCACCUGAUGGAAUGGAGAUAUGUCACCUGUGGAUCAAAAUGACCUCGGUUCUUGCCUUGCUCUGUUACAAGUGUCAAGUGCACGGAGUUACUGGAGACGUUAAAAAAACAGCCGACGCUUCUGAGCUCUGUUAACUCACACACCAUUGUAGGGGGUGGAUAAUGACUUUCAAGUCUUACUUCUGAUAAAAGGAACGUACGUUGUGAAUAAAAAGCCACUGUAGCAUUCAGUUUUAGAUGUUGGGAAACUACACGCCUCUAAAGACUUCGUCUUGGAUUUCUUGAAUCUGUCUUCUGAGAAUGUGAGGAUCUUUUUGAGGGCGUAACUUUUCAAAUCGUUUUCAAAGCUGUAACUACAAAUAGAAAUGAAGCAGGCUGUCAUCUUAAACAGAGGGGGAAUUUGAGUUAGUUGUAAUAUGCAGUAAGGUGUCUUAAAGAUUUCUUUUAAAACUUCCUUGAAGUUAGUUCAGGCCGGUGUGCGGUUUGUUUUACGUUUAAAUAAGAGUGAGGCUUGGGUGUGGCAGAAGUAGGCCUGCCACAUGUCUUUGCGAUACUGCUCUGAAUCACACCAGCUGACUGCAGCUUUAUUUCCACAGCAGAACACUUGGCUGCUUCAGGGAUGGGGAGCCACGAGGCAGUGCCAGGAACAAGUUGGUGGUGUCGGGCUGGUGUUUUUAGCUUACUGUGCAAACAGUUCUUCAUUAACACAGUUCGUUUUACGCAGCCUUUUAUAUCAAAAAAAUAAAUUCUGAGCUGACCAAUAGUCAGUUCUUAUAAAUUAAACUCUUUCUUGUAAAGACAAGUUCCCUAGAGAACUUCUGAGCAAUUUAUGACCCUUGCCCUUCAUUGUUUUUGCUGAUGUUUUAUUUCUUUUUUUCCCUGCUAAGACUGCAGUCUGUCUUCUUGCUGUGUUUGCUGUUUGUUUUUAGAUAUUUGAAGUAAAAAAAAAUAAAAAUCAGGUGUGAUUUAUAUGAUUUAGAUAAGGAAGAUUUUUGUCCAAGUCCCCUUCCCACUCCUCUGUUCCAACUGCUUGCUAAAUGACUUGGUUCGUGGUGUGUUUUAACAAGUUUUAGGACAUUUGUGACAGAAUUAGGGGAUGAAUUAGCCUCUCGUGUAGAGAAAUUAGUCUUUUGUGGUUUUUUUUUGCAUUUGUUUGAUGUAGAAAACUUCCCCACACCUUAAACCUUAAAAGUCUGAGCAAGUGCUUUGAAUCUUACACUCCAGGCUUCUCAACCACCUCAAAGCUUGUGGGGUAAGAUGAGAGACUAGAGCUGUGGUCCGUGGACUGAAAUUGAAUACUUGAUGUCCUUAAAGCUGCUACAAGGCCAACAAGAUGCUUAAUGAACUGGUGCACAUGGAAAAAGCUUUCACUGGGCUCUGACCUUGCAGCUACAGAUGGUGACUUGAGGACGCUGCCUGUCGUGGAGGGCUGGAACUUGUUAGCUUUCCAUUAGCAGCAAUUUAUUGACUUCCAGAAUAACUUAGGGUCAGACUGAAGUUUUUGGUGUUUUAGGCUGGAGUUUGCUCUCGAAUAUGACGGGAUUUCAUGAGGAUGAGAGGGUGGCACGUCGGCAUCCUGCAGGUGCUUUGAGCAGGGGGACCGCAGGCUUCAGGCACGCGUUGAGUUCCUCCACCUGCUCUCAGGAGGGAGCAAGAGGAGGCUUCAAGUAGGGUUUAAUGUCACCCUACAAGGACGUCUCACCUGGGAACUUGAACAAGAAAUUGCACCUGUGGGUAGGAAGCUGAAGUGUCUAUUGAUGCGGUAAUAUGGAAAAUUCCAACUACUAAAUGCAGAAUAAUGAUGCCUUUAAUGUAUUUGUCUGCCUGUAAUACUGUUUUUGGUGGCUGGGCAGCCGGACAGAGUUGUUAGAUGUGCUGUGAGUAUCUUAUCAAAUUAAGGCUGAAAAAUAAACAGUUCUCACUUAAAAUCCAGAUAAUUCAGUGUGGGAGGAAAGUCUUGUCAUAGCUGAGAUUCUUCUGGACUUGCAGUAUUUCUUUAUAAUACUUGUUUACGUAUUGUUGUACGGUGUUUGUUUUUUAAAUCCCUCCCUUGUGGAAGCGUGGCUCCCUUUGCUCUCAAGUGCUGCCCUCGCACCUCUACAGCCGCUCUUCCAGAUGUUUGCCAUCCAGCCCUGGUGCUACUUCACCCCAAGCUGUGCUGGAAGCUCAUGGGGACUGCCGGCCUUCCUGUGCUACAGGGACGUGUAACCAGAUGCGAGGCACUGUCACCAUGGUAAAGCAAGUGCCAGCAUUUUCUGUGCUGAUUGGAGCUUUACAUUUAUGCAUAGGUUUCUCUUCAGUCACUUACAAGACUUGAGACCCAAAGCAUGACCCUUUAUUUUUAUUUUUUUUUAUGUAUGCAGUAAAUGCCUUUUUUAGGAAUAAGUGCAUAGUUCUGUUUACAUUUCUGGGGAGAAGAGCGCAAGACUCAGGUAUAAUAGUUAAUUGCAGGCAGUUACUAAGCUUGAAUUAAAAUGAUAAAUUUGAAUAUGUUUUAUAAAUGUUGUACAAAUGGCUCUGAGAUAAAGUAUUUUGGAGAUGGUGUAAAGCUGUGUUAUUGUGACACCUUUCUUGUAAGAGGAAGCUGUAGUGCGGUGGUGGCCUUCCACCGCUGUCACAUUUCUGGUGCAGCGUGUCGGCAGCGUUCCUGUAGCACAGAGAGCAAACCUGUGCUGUGCCUUGGUUUAGUAGCAUCACUGCCUUUAGGAUAGCAACUGGAGUGAUACGUUGGAGCAAUGUGCUUUUGGACAUCAAAUUACUGCUUUCUAGCACAAGUGCAUUCACUAAUCUCGCCUUUUAUCCACCCUACUGUAGCAGCAGCUUAGUAGGGCUUGUACGGCUACCUGCCUUAUCACUGAAAUGUUGAAAAUUGCUUUGUUGUUAAGGUGCGUGUUCAAAAUACAGGGCUCUAGCACAUGUGGCCUGUGGCUCCUGUUCUGGUACCAUCCCCAGCUCGUCUGCCUGCCAGAUUUGGUUCCUCCUAAGGCGUUAGAUGGAUCGGGAGCUGCUGAGGUGCAAACAUAUGUUCCAACCUGUGGUGCCAGCGAGGUAAAUGCUGGCAGGGAGGCAGUAACAACCAGUCAUGAGGUUUACCAUUUCCUCGUAGCUGUAUGUUUAAUGAGUGCAUGUCCAACUCGUCUUGUAGUGAACUGCUAAAACUAUUGCUGGAGGAAAGACGCGUUUAUUUGACAGAAGAGCUUUGAACUACAACCUGAGAAAGCAGACGUGGUGUUUGGUGAAGCUGCAAUUAUGUGAACUUGUAGCUGUCAGCGUACAAAUAACUUCGAUCAGCAGUGUGUGAGAUAAAGGUGUACCUAGUGCACGCCCUGUUGCAAGCUGCUGGCUUGUCAGAUACCCCUGGACUUCAUGUGGGACCCCCGGUCGCGUCAGAGCAUGUGUAGCUACAUCUUUUUUCCCCAACAGGGAUGAAUUAUAAAUACUGAGAUAAAGCAACAAGUACCCAAAUACAAGUUAACUUAGUUUCGU